CAAGGGGAACUACUCCCAUUAUUUCCGUUCUUCAAACAGCAAAUGAAACUAGUUUAUAGGCAAAUUCGUAAGUAAUUCUCUCUGUGAAUCAGAUUGGUUUAUAGGCUAGAGUAAUAUUUUUUAAUUAGUAAAUUUAGACAGUUUUAAUUUGUAAAAUCAUAUAUCAACAGACAUAUCAAUAAUACAGAAUAAAAAUGUCAGAUAAUGAUCUGAAGAAAACUGCUGAGCUUCUUAGGCAGGCAGCCAGAGAACUGGAAGAAAAAUCUCGAACUACACAGACUCCUACUACUAUAUUACCUGGGCCGUCAACACCAAAUGUCAGCGAAAUGCGCCGUUUGUUUUGUCCCUAUUCUAGUAUUUCGAGGACAAGUAAUAAAAGAGUUGCUGGUACUGGUAGACAGAACACAUGGACUCAUCGUUUUUUUUGUGUGUCAAGUUGCACACAGAACACUGUCCCUGAUCGGUUCGCAAGAAAAGUCACACAGGAUGCUGGACUGGGAGAAAAAAGAAUAACUCUUUUUAAGAAUGAUGAUGCGAAGUAUUUUUCAAAUGAAAUAUAUUCACAUUAUCCAAAAUUGAUAGAUGGAGGAGGGUAUGAUCUAAAUCGUGCCAUAGGAAGAACCAUAAUGGAGUUUAUUGACCCCCCUCCAUCAGGGUACACAAGUGCUUUUCUGGCACAGUCAUACAUUGGACAAGCCAUCAUAUAUAUCAAACCCUUACAGAGAGAUCUGGAUAUUACUAUUAGUGGGACUCCAAAAGGCAUGCAGUCAGAUAUGAUAACACAGGAGUGCAUGGAUUGCGGUGAAAAAGUGCCUUUAAAUAAUUUGAGAAAACAUAUACAAGAAUUUCAUGAGCUUCAGGAAGAUAAUUUACCUAAAAUAAAGAGACAGAAGUCAGAGCAGUUGUCCUCUGUUACUCCUAUUUGUAAAUAUGCUUGUGUAAGUGAGGUGGAAAAAUCAGUACCCAGUGGUUGGAUAUGGAAACAGAUCUCGAAGAUGAUGUUCAACUGAAUACUGGACAUUUUCUUCUGGCAACAACUGGUAGCCCUGCCAUAUCUCCAAAUAUAGGAGAUGGGCUACUACUAUUUGACCAUGAAAAUUUAAACUGCACUACAGUAAAUACAUGUGCGCCAUCUAUUACUAUUAACCAAACGAAAUAUAUGAAAGAAUACGAUUUCCUAGAAAAUGCUUUUAUUAACAUAAUUGUAUGUGCUUAUGGUUUUGGUUUGAAUUGAAAAUGUAUGUAGCAUGAACUGGGCCUCUGUUGGUGAAAUACCCAAUAAAAACCUAUUAAUUGAAAAAAAGCAGUGUUGAUUUCCUAAUUCAUUUCAUGAUAAUUAGAAAUGAAAUUUACGGUUGCAAGAAACAAGUCCAUUCCCUGAUUUUCUGAAUCGAAUAAAGGAUUUAUUUGGCACAUCAAUUCUUCCAUCUUUUGAUCAGUUAAAGAUAUAGGAAAAUGACCAAUAACAACUCUUUCUGGUUCAUCAUCAUAUGCCAUCAAACCAUUUUGUAUUGUUCCGUAACUUUGAAAGUCUGCCUAUAAAAAAAUAUUUAAAAUCUAAUGAACGUCUGUUUGGGAUUGAAUUUAUAGGUUUAUUUAAGAUAUAAGUUUAUUUCAUAUUGUAAACAAGAAUUUUAACGAAACUUGCUGUAGUUGUUUAUACCAGCAUAAGGAAGAAGCCUAUCGAAAUUCAAUGUUUUCCAGAGUUAUUGACCUUGAUUCACGAAACCUUGUAAACGUGAUAGAGACCAGAGUUGCUGUAAUUGUUUAUAAAAAUGGCGAAAAUUAGGUCAAGUCACAAAAUCAUCUGAUUCUGACGAAGCAAGCAAUUAAUUAUAUAUUAUUGAGGUCACUGAUUAUGAAUAUGCUAGUUUAAAAGUUGUAUCUUAUCUUUGAAAAGGUUGAAAGUUUCAUUUUACUAGUUAUUGUGCAUGCCCAUAAAAACUUCUUCUUUACACGAUAGAGAUCACAGUUCUCAACGAAAAGUUUUGAAACUUUCUGGGAUAUAAUAACAGUUGUUGGGGUGUAUAAGGUUGGAGACUUCUAUCUUAUCAUUAACAGAUUAAAUCAUUUGUUUGCUAUGGAAAUUAAAAUAUCCCAAAAUCUCACCCUCCAAUUUUUGAAUAUUUUUAGGCAUAAUCUUAACCACUGUCAAAAAAUGAAAGAUUAUAUUAAUCUGGAUUUCUUGAAUAAACAUAUCAAUGAAAAUA